GAUGAACGCUGGCGGCGUGCUUAACACAUGCAAGUCGAACGAUGAAGCCCAGCUUGCUGGGUGGAUUAGUGGCGAACGGGUGAGUAACACGUGAGUAACCUGCCCUUAACUCUGGGAUAAGCCUGGGAAACUGGGUCUAAUACCGGUUAGGAGCGUCCACCGCAUGGUGGGUGUUGGAAAGAUUUAUCGGUUUUGGAUGGACUCGCGGCCUAUCAGCUUGUUGGUGAGGUAUUGGCUCACCAAGGCGACGACGGGUAGCCGGCCUGAGAGGGUGACCGGCCACACUGGGACUGAGACACGGCCCAGACUCCUACGGGAGGCAGCAGUGGGGAAUAUUGCACAAUGGGCGCAAGCCUGAUGCAGCGACGCCGCGUGAGGGAUGACGGCCUUCGGGUUGUAAACCUCUUUCAGUAGGGAAGAAGCGAAAGUGACGGUACCUGCAGAAGAAGCACCGGCUAACUACGUG
rnacentral:rRNA from 1 species